rnacentral:rRNA from 1 species
GACGAACGCUGGCGGCGUGCCUAAUACAUGCAAGUAGAACGCUGAAGGAGGAGCUUGCUUCUCUGGAUGAGUUGCGAACGGGUGAGUAACGCGUAGGUAACCUGCCUGGUAGCGGGGGAUAACUAUUGGAAACGAUAGCUAAUACCGCAUAACAGUAGAUAUCGCAUGAUAUCUACUUGAAAGGUGCAAUUGCAUCACUACCAGAUGGACCUGCGUUGUAUUAGCUAGGUGGUGAGGUAACGGCUCACCAAGGCGACGAUACAUAGCCGACCUGAGAGGGGGAUCGGCCACACUGGGACUGAGACACGGCCCAGACUCCUACGGGAGGCAGCAGUAGGGAAUCUUCGGCAAUGGACGGAAGUCUGACCGAGCAACGCCGCGGGAGUGAAGAAGGUGUUCGGAUCGUAAAGCUCUGUUGUAAGAGAAGAACGAGUGUGAGAGUGGAAAGUUCACACUGUGACGGUAUCUUACCAGAAAGGGACGGCUAACUACGU